GAUGAAGAACGCAGCGAAAUGCGAUACGUAAUGUGAAUUGCAGAAUUCAGUGAAUCAUCGAGUCUUUGAACGCACAUUGCGCCCCCUGGUAUUCCGGGGGGCAUGCCUGUCCGAGCGUCAUUACAACCCUCAAGCUUUGCUUGGUAUUGGACAUUGCCAGUUUCUGGCAGGUCUUAAAAUCAGUGGCGGUGCCAUUUGGCUUCAAGCGUAGUAAUUCUUCUCGCUUUGGAGAUCCAGGUGGUUACUUGCCAAUAACCCCCAAUUUUUUCAGGUUGACCUCGGAUCAGGUAGGGAUACCCGCUGAACUUAAGCAUAUCAAUAAGCGGAGGA
rnacentral:misc_RNA from 1 species